CCUCAAUUCCUUCCUGGGGUCACAGGUGGGCCUCAAUUCCUUCCUGGAGUCACAGGGCCUGUCCAGCACCCAGACUAUCAGGCUUUGGCUUAGCAGUCCUCAUUCCCACGUUCCAAGACAAGACAUGGCUAUGUACACAUAUAUUCUGCAAAAAGAAUCUGCAGGAGGAAGGGCCCUUGCUCCAACAAACAAGCAAGAGGUUUCCUGCACAUCGGUGCCUCCCAUCCAGUGCUCAAAGGCAACUCCUUGACUUCAACUCCUUCGCUGUUUUUGUGGAUGGUUCCCUCAACACCCCUCUGGUAAUAAAUAUCUUUCUCCCAA